rnacentral:rRNA from 1 species
UGAGACACGGCCCAGAUUCCUACGGGAGGCAGCAGUGGGGAAUAUUGCACAAUGGGCGCAAGCCUGAUGCAGCCAUGCCGCGUGUGUGAAGAAGCCUUUCGGGUUGUAAAGCACUUUCAGUCAGGAGGAAAGGUUAGUAGUUAAUACCUGCUAGCUGUGACGUUACUGACAGAAGAAGCACCGGCUAACUCCGUGCCAGCAGCCGCGGUAAUACGGAGGGUGCGAGCGUUAAUCGGAAUUACUGGGCGUAAAGCGUACGCAGGCGGUUUGUUAAGCGAGAUGUGAAAGCCCCGGGCUCAACCUGGGAACUGCAUUUCGAACUGGCAAACUAGAGUGUGAUAGAGGGUGGUAGAAUUUCAGGUGUAGCGGUGAAAUGCGUAGAGAUCUGAAGGAAUACCGAUGGCGAAGGCAGCCACCUGGGUCAACACUGACGCUCAUGUACGAAAGCGUGGGGAGCAAACAGGAUUAGAUACCCUGGUAGUCCACGCCGUAAACGAUGUCUACUAGAAGCUCGGAGCCUCGGCUCUGUUUUUCAAAGCUAACGCAUUAAGUAGACCGCCUGGGGAGUACGGCCGCAAGGUUAAAACUCAAAUGAAUUGACGGGGGCCCGCACAAGCGGUGGAGCAUGUGGUUUAAUUCGAUGCAACGCGAAGAACCUUACCUACACUUGACAUACAGAGAACUUACCAGAGAUGGUUUGGUGCCUUCGGGAACUCUGAUACAGGUGCUGCAUGGCUGUC